rnacentral:rRNA from 1 species
AGUCGAACGGUGAUGGAGAGCUUGCUCUCCGGAUCAGUGGCGAACGGGUGAGUAACACGUGAGUAACCUGCCCCUGACUCUGGGAUAAGCGUUGGAAACGACGUCUAAUACCGGAUACGACCCGUGAAGGCAUCUUCUACGGGUGGAAAGAAUUUCGGUUUGGGAUGGACUCGCGGCCUAUCAGUUUGUUGGUGAGGUAAUGGCUCACCAAGGCGACGACGGGUAGCCGGCCUGAGAGGGUGACCGGCCACACUGGGACUGAGACACGGCCCAGACUCCUACGGGAGGCAGCAGUGGGGAAUAUUGCACAAUGGGCGCAAGCCUGAUGCAGCAACGCCGCGUGAGGGACGACGGCCUUCGGGUUGUAAACCUCUUUUGGCAGGGAAGAAGCGAAAGUGACGGUACCUGCAGAAAAAGCACCGGCUAACUACGUGCCAGCAGCCGCGGUAAUACGUAGGGUGCAAGCGUUGUCCGGAAUUAUUGGGCGUAAAGAGCUCGUAGGCGGUUUGUCGCGUCUGCUGUGAAAACGCGAGGCUCAACCUCGCGCCUGCAGUGGGUACGGGCAGACUAGAGUGUGGUAGGGGAGAUUGGAAUUCCUGGUGUAGCGGUGGAAUGCGCAGAUAUCAGGAGGAACACCGAUGGCGAAGGCAGAUCUCUGGGCCAUUACUGACGCUGAGGAGCGAAAGCGUGGGGAGCGAACAGGAUUAGAUACCCUGGUAGUCCACGCCGUAAACGUUGGGAACUAGAUGUGGGGUCCAUUCCACGGAUUCCGUGUCGCAGCUAACGCAUCAAGUUCCCCGCCUGGGGAGUACGGCCGCAAGGCUAAAACUCAAAGGAAUUGAC